rnacentral:SRP_RNA from 1 species
GCCAGGCACGGUGGCACGUGCCUGUAGUCCCAGCUACUCGGGAGGCUGAGAUGGGAAGAUCGUUUGAGCCCAGGAGUUCUCGGCUGCAGUGCGCUAUGCCAAUCAGGUGUCCACACUAAGUUCAGCAUCAGUAUAGUGACUUCCUGGGGGUAGGGGACCACCAGGUUGCCUAAGGAGGGGUGAACCGGCCCAGGUUGGAAACAAAGCAAGUUAAAACUCCUGUGCUGAUCAGGAGGGGAUUCCACCUGUGAAUAGCCACUGCACUCCAGCCUGGGCAACAUAGCCAGACCCCAUCUAA